GGAUUUGUGCCUGAAUUAAAGGACCACUUUGAUAGAGUGGAAAAUGAGGGUUAGAGCCCCUCCAACUCCU
rnacentral:tRNA from 1 species